UUUUCUUUUUUUUCUAUGCAGCUCCAUUUUCAAAAGCUAUUUGGGGUUCUUAUUUUCUAUGAUUGACACUUGAUACAGCCUAUGGGCGUGUGAAGAUUGCGUAGCGAUACGCUGUUUGAGCCGAGCAUUAUCACAGCGACUCACCCGCCGAAUGCGUACAAUGCUACUGCGCAAGUGGUGGUUCCAGGAAGCGGAGAAAAUCCUGGAAAUACCAGAGCAAUUCAGCUUCAAAUUUGUAUGAUGAUGGAAGGUUUCCUACCUGGUAGCUAGACGGUAAUGACUUAGGCCACUUUUAGACGGAAACGGUCUCCAUAGAAAACAGAAAAAUUUUAGUUUCGUUUAGGGGGGUCCGUUUAGACGGCAACUGCGUUUUCAGGAGAUGAAAACGUAACAAAGUGAAAACCCCCUCCAGAGUGGAAAUGUUGUAAACGCUCUGCUAGUCCCGCUUUCGUCUAAAGUACAAAAACGCUGAAAACAGUCAAACCUGUGACGUCCUG